CCUACGGGAGGCAGCAGUAAGGAAUAUUGGUCAAUGGACGAAAGUCUGAACCAGCCAUGCCGCGUGAAGGAUUAAGGCCCUCUGGGUUGUAAACUUCUUUUAUCUGGGACGAAAAAAGGGUAUUCUUACUCACUUGACGGUACCAGAGGAAUAAGCACCGGCUAACUCCGUGCCAGCAGCCGCGGUAAUACGGAGGGUGCAAGCGUUAUCCGGAUUUACUGGGUUUAAAGGGUGCGUAGGUGGGCUUGUAAGUCAGUGGUGAAAUCUCCGGGCUUAACCCGGAAACUGCCAUUGAUACUAUAGGUCUUGAAUUAUCUGGAGGUAAGCGGAAUAUGUCAUGUAGCGGUGAAAUGCUUAGAUAUGACAUAGAACACCAAUUGCGAAGGCAGCUUACUACGGAUAUAUUGACACUGAGGCACGAAAGCGUGGGGAUCAAACAGGAUUAGAUACCCUGGUAGUCCACGCCCUAAACGAUGGAUACUCGACAUCAGCGAUACACUGUUGGUGUCUGAGCGAAAGCAUUAAGUAUCCACCUGGGAAGUACGAUCGCAAGAUUGAAACUCAAAGGAAUUGACGGCUGAGACGNGCGAGACGACGACGAGGGAGAGG
rnacentral:rRNA from 1 species